rnacentral:rRNA from 1 species
GAUCCUGGCUCAGGAUGAACGCUGGCGGCGUGCUUAACACAUGCAAGUCGAGCGAAGCACUUUACUUGGAUUUCUUCGGAGUGACGAGUAUUGUGACUGAGCGGCGGACGGGUGAGUAACGCGUGGGUAACCUGCCUCAUACAGGGGGGAUAACAGUUAGAAAUGACUGCUAAUACCGCAUAAGACCACAGCACCGCAUGGUGCAGGGGUAAAAACUCCGGUGGUAUGAGAUGGACCCG